rnacentral:rRNA from 1 species
AGCGACCGCUGGCGGCAGGCUUAACACAUGCAAGUCGAACGCCCCGCAAGGGGAGUGGCAGACGGGUGAGUAACGCGUGGGAACGUACCCUUUGGCUCGGAAUAACUUGGGGAAACUCAAGCUAAUACCGGACAAGCCCUUAUGGGGAAAGGUUUACUGCCGAAGGAUCGGCCCGCGUCUGAUUAGCUAGUUGGUGAGGUAAUGGCUCACCAAGGCGACGAUCAGUAGCUGGUCUGAGAGGAUGAUCAGGCACACUGGGACUGAGACACGGCCCAGACUCCUACGGGAGGCAGCAGUGGGGAAUAUUGGACAAUGGGGGCAACCCUGAUCCAGCCAUGCCGCGUGAGUGAUGAAGGCCUUAGGGUUGUAAAGCUCUUUUACCCGGGACGAUAAUGACUGUACCGGGAGAAUAAGCCCCGGCUAACUUCGUGCCAGCCGCGCCGUAA